AACGCACGAGACCUGCGGACCUGCGGAGGGAUCAUUACAGAGUUGCAAAACUCCCUAACCCUUGUGAACAUACCUGUACGUCGUUGCUUCGGCGGGUAGCCCCUUUACGGGGCCUCGACCUCCCAGCGAGGUUGCCCGCCGGAGGACCACACAAAACUCUUGAAUUAAUGGCUUCUCUGAGUAUUAAUCAAAUAAGUUAAAACUUUUAACAACGGAUCUCU
rnacentral:misc_RNA from 1 species